AUUGAACGCUGGCGGCAUGCUUUACACAUGCAAGUCGAACGGCAGCGCGGGCUUCGGCCUGGCGGCGAGUGGCGAACGGGUGAGUAAUGCAUCUGAACGUGCCCAGUAGUGGGGUAUAGCCCGGCGAAAGCCGUAUUAAUACCGCCUACGACCUGAGGGUGAAAGCGGGGGACCGAAAGGCCUCGCGCUAUUGGAGCGGCCGAUGUCGGAUUAGCUAGUUGGUGGGGUAAAGGCUUACCAAGGCGACGAUCCGUAGCUGGUCUGAGAGGACGACCAGCCACACUGGGGCUGAGACACGGCCCAGACUCCGACGGGAGGCAGCAGUGGGGAAUUUUGGCAAAAGGGGGCAACCCUGAUCCAGCCAUGCAGCGUGCGGGAAGAAGGCCUGCGGGUUGUAAACCGCUUUUGUUCGGGAAGAAAUCCUCUGGGCUAAUACCCGGGGGGAUGACGGUACCGGAAGAAUAAGCACCGGCUAACUACGUG
rnacentral:rRNA from 1 species